UCCUAUAUGUGUGCUCAGGAAGGUGUGCACUGAGUUUCCUGGACAAUCGACUGAAGUGCGUGUGUCAUUCAAUAGAGAGCACUGUUGGAACAGCCAACAAUCUGAUAUGUGUGUUGUUUUCUGAUAAUGAAAUGCAGUCUGAAUGCAGCCGUUGCUAACGCGCUACCUACUAGGACCUGAUCAUUGGGUGGACUGAGUAGUCCAAGCAGCAUGCAGCUAGAGCCUGGCUUCAACAUUUCUAAUGUAGAGUGGUAGUUUAACUAAUGCAUUAAUUGUAAUUUCAAUUGUAUCACUUCAAUGUUAUUUUAUCAUGAAGUUUUUGAUGGAAAUAUUGAUAGUUAUUGAAUGGGAGCCUUAAAAGUUUUGUCUUUCUAAUUUGUUGAAACCAUUGUGAGAGAAAAUUUCAAGUGUCAUAUCGCCAGGGCUGGUGCAAAAUACAUGCGGACAACUAAAGGAAAAAACUUUCAAUUUUGCGGAAAUUUAAAAAAUACUGUAUUUAUUUAGCGCCACCAGCAAGCGGCGUCGCGGCUAUGAUAAGAUAGCAUUUCUAAUUUGGUAGAAAAAAUGGUUCAUAUGUUUAGCUAGUAUAUGUUAGCUCCAUGAUAAUUCAUAAUUUUAUUCAUAGCCAAAAAACAAUAAUUUGGAACAGUGUGUACUUCAUACUACACGAGUCUUAUCCCAAUCAUAUGGGGUCGGCAUUUCCCUCCUUCAGCCGCCUCCUCCUCAAAAUCCUGUCCAUCUCCUCCCCGCAUCUCCAACCCUUCUCCCGCAUAUCCCCCCACUCUGUCUCUCCACCUUAUCCUUGGCCUUUCUCGCCCUCUCCUCCCACCCAGAUCCAAAUCCUGCACCCUCCGUCCUCACAUGUCCAAAUCACCUCAUCCUAGUCUCCGGCAUCUUCCAUCCCAAUCUAUCUCUAGAAAUACCUAGAAAUAAUUUAUCACUAGACUUCUCCAAUUGGGCUUCAAAAAUCCCUUGAAGUGACACCACUGCUGGACGUCCAGGGGGCGGAACACUCUAGCUAGAGCCCGAAGCAAGCUCGACCGCUAGUUUUGUAAAUUGGCGGGAGGCGCCAAAUCCGCGACUCACAUGUACUAGAAAUUCUCCUUGCACCGGCCCUAGCAGCUAGAACCUGGCUUCAGAGUUCCUAAAUGUAGAGUGUAUUAAUAUUUUAACUAAUGGAUUCAAGUGUAAGUAUAAUUGUACCACUUUUCAUUGUUAUUUUAUCAUGAAGUUUUUAAUUGGAAUAUUAAUUGUGAUUGAAUGCUUUUGUCAAUCAUGAUGGACGCCUGUGAUUGAAAAAUGUACAUUGUAUAAGCUUUGUUGGAAAUUAGAUUAGUGUUUUUGUAAAUUAUGUAUUGUCCUCCAUCAAUGUGGUAUCGUUCGUUAUUGAAGCGGCUUUAGAAAGUACAUAAUUAUAAAGUACCGUAACUGUUAUAUCAAUGUAGCCUUAAUCGAAUGUUGUUUCUAAAAUGUAAAGACAUGACACAUUUAAUGUUUCAUUUGAAAUCUUGAAUGUCGAUUUAACGUACAUGAUUCAAGAAUGUUUGAAUAGUGUAUGAUAUUUUUUGAUAAAUAAACAUUAUCCCACAUUA
rnacentral:lncRNA from 1 species